UAAACCAGCCUUAUUAUAGAGGGGAUCAGCAGGUCCUGGAUCAGCCUGAUGUCUUUAAACCAGCCUUAUUAUAGAGGGGAUCGGCAGGUCCUGGAUCAGUCUGAUGUCUUUAAACCAGCCUUAUUAUAGAGGGGAUCGGCAGGUCCUGGAUCAGUCUGAUGUCUUUAAACCAGCCUUAUUAUAGAGGGGAUCAGCAGGUCCUGGAUCAGUCUGAGGUCUUUAAACCAGCCUUAUUAUAGAGGGGAUCAGCAGGUCCUGGAUCAGUCUGAUGUCUUUAAACCAGCCUGAGGUCUUUAAACCAGCCUUAUUAUAGAGGGGAUCGGCAGGUCCUGGAUCAGCCUGAUGUCUUUAAACCAGUCUGAAGUCUUUAAACCAGCCUUAUUAUAGAGGGGAUCGGCAGGUCCUGGAUCAGCCUGAUGUCUUUAAACCAGCCUUAUUAUAGAGGGGAUCAGCAGGUCCUGGAUCAGUCUGAAGUCUUUAAACCAGCCUUAUUAUAGAGGGGAUCGGCAGGUCCUGGAUCAGUCUGAAGUCUUUAAACCAGCCUUAUUAUAGAGGGGAUCGGCAGGUCCUGGAUCAGUCUGAUGUCUUUAAACCAGCCUUAUUAUAGAGGGGAUCGGCAGGUCCUGGAUCAGUCUGAUGUCUUUAAACCAGCCUUAUUAUAGAGGGGAUCAGCAGGUCCUGGAUCAGCCUGAUGUCUUUAAACCAGCCUUAUUAUAGAGGGGAUCGGCAGGUCCUGGAUCAGUCUGAAGUCUUUAAACCAGCCUGAUGUCUUUAAACCAGCCUUAUUAUAGAGGGGAUCAGCAGGUCCUGGAUCAGUCUGAUGUCUUUAAACCAGCCUUAUUAUAGAGGGGAUCAGCAGGUCCUGGAUCAGUCUGAAGUCUUUAAACCAGCCUUAUUAUAGAGGGGAUCAGCAGGUCCUGGAUCAGUCUGAUGUCUUUAAACCAGCCUUAUUAUAGAGGGGAUCAGCAGGUCCUGGAUCAGUCUGUCUUUAAACCAGCCUUAUUAUAGAGGGGAUCAGCAGGUCCUGGAUCAGCCUGAUGUCUUUAAACCAGCCUUAUUAUAGAGGGGAUCGGCAGGUCCUGGAUCAGUCUGAUGUCUUUAAACCAGCCUUAUUAUAGAGGGGAUCGGCAGGUCCUGGAUCAGUCUGAUGUCUUUAAACCAGCCUUAUUAUAGAGGGGAUCAGCAGGUCCUGGAUCAGUCUGAUGUCUUUAAACCAGCCUUAUUAUAGAGGGGAUCGGCAGGUCCUGGAUCAGUCUGAUGUCUUUAAACCAGCCUUAUUAUAGAGGGGAUCAGCAGGUCCUGGAUCAGUCUGAAGUCUUUAAACCAGCCUGAUGUCUUUAAACCAGCCUUAUUAUAGAGGGGAUCGGCAGGUCCUGGAUCAGUCUGAUGUCUUUAAACCAGCCUGAUGUCUUUAAACCAGCCUUAUUAUAGAGGGGAUCAGCAGGUCCUGGAUCAGUCUGAUGUCUUUAAACCAGCCUUAUUAUAGAGGGGAUCGGCAGGUCCUGGAUCAGCCUGAUGUCUUUAAACCAGCCUUAUUAUAGAGGGGAUCGGCAGGUCCUGGAUCAGUCUAAUGUCUUUAAACCAGCCUUAUUAUAGAGGGGAUCGGCAGGUCCUGGAUCAGUCUGAUGUCUUUAAACCAGCCUUAUUAUAGAGGGGAUCGGCAGGUCCUGGAUCAGUCUGAUGUCUUUAAACCAGCCUUAUUAUAGAGGGGAUCGGCAGGUCCUGGAUCAGUCUGAUGUCUUUAAACCAGCCUUAUUAUAGAGGGGAUCAGCAGGUCCUGGAUCAGUCUGAUGUCUUUAAACCAGCCUCAUUAUAGAGGGGAUCAGCAGGUCCUGGAUCAGUCUGAUGUCUUUAAACCAGCCUUAUUAUAGAGGGGAUCGGCAGGUCCUGGAUCAGUCUGAUGUCUUUAAACCAGCCUGAUGUCUUUAAACCAGCCUUAUUAUAGAGGGGAUCGGCAGGUCCUGGAUCAGUCUGAUGUCUUUAAACCAGCCUUAUUAUAGAGGGGAUCGGCAGGUCCUGGAUCAGCCUGAUGUCUUUAAACCAGCCUUAUUAUAGAGGGGAUCGGCAGGUCCUGGAUCAGUCUGAUGUCUUUAAACCAGCCUGAUGUCUUUAAACCAGCCUUAUUAUAGAGGGGAUCGGCAGGUCCUGGAUCAGUCUGAAGUCUUUAAACCAGCCUGAUGUCUUUAAACCAGCCUUAUUAUAGAGGGGAUCGGCAGGUCCUGGAUCAGUCUGAUGUCUUUAAACCAGCCUUAUUAUAGAGGGGAUCAGCAGGUCCUGGAUCAGCCUGAUAUCUUUAAAACAGCCUUAUUAUAGAGGGGAUCGGCAGGUCCUGGAUCAGCCUGAUAUCUUUAAAACAGCCUUAUUAUAGAGGGGAUCGGCAGGUCCUGGAUCAGCCUGAUGUCUUUAAACCAGCCUUAUUAUAGAGGGGAUCAGCAGGUCCUGGAUCAGUCUGAUGUCUUUAAACCAGCCUUAUUAUAGAGGGGAUCAGCAGGUCCUGGAUCAGUCUGAGGUCUUUAAACCAGCCUUAUUAUAGAGGGGAUCGGCAGGUCCUGGAUCAGUCUGAUGUCUUUAAACCAGCCUUAUUAUAGAGGGGAUCAGCAGGUCCUGGAUCAGUCUGAUGUCUUUAAACCAGCCUUAUUAUAGAGGGGAUCGGCAGGUCCUGGAUCAGUCUGAUGUCUUUAAACCAGCCUUAUUAUAGAGGGGAUCGGCAGGUCCUGGAUCAGUCUGAUGUCUUUAAACCAGCCUUAUUAUAGAGGGGAUCGGCAGGUCCUGGAUCAGUCUGAAGUCUUUAAACCAGCCUUAUUAUAGAGGGGAUCAGCAGGUCCUGGAUCAGUCUGAUGUCUUUAAACCAGCCUUAUUAUAGAGGGGAUCAGCAGGUCCUGGAUCAGUCUGAUGUCUUUAAACCAGCCUUAUUAUAGAGGGGAUCAGCAGGUCCUGGAUCAGCCUGAUGUCUUUAAACCAGCCUUAUUAUAGAGGGGAUCGGCAGGUCCUGGAUCAGUCUGAUGUCUUUAAACCAGCCUUAUUAUAGAGGGGAUCGGCAGGUCCUGGAUCAGCCUGAUGUCUUUAAACCAGCCUUAUUAUAGAGGGGAUCGGCAGGUCCUGGAUCAGUCUGAUGUCUUUAAACCAGCCUUAUUAUAGAGGGGAUCAGCAGGUCCUGGAUCAGCCUGAUGUCUUUAAACCAGCCUUAUUAUAGAGGGGAUCGGCAGGUCCUGGAUCAGUCUGAUGUCUUUAAACCAGCCUUAUUAUAGAGGGGAUCAGCAGGUCCUGGAUCAGUCUGAUGUCUUUAAACCAGCCUUAUUAUAGAGGGGAUCGGCAGGUCCUGGAUCAGUCUGAUGUCUUUAAACCAGCCUUAUUAUAGAGGGGAUCGGCAGGUCCUGGAUCAGUCUGAUGUCUUUAAACCAGCCUUAUUAUAGAGGGGAUCGGCAGGUCCUGGAUCAGUCUGAAGUCUUUAAACCAGCCUUAUUAUAGAGGGGAUCGGCAGGUCCUGGAUCAGCCUGAUGUCUUUAAACCAGCCUUAUUAUAGAGGGGAUCAGCAGGUCCUGGAUCAGUCUGAUGUCUUUAAACCAGCCUUAUUAUAGAGGGGAUCGGCAGGUCCUGGAUCAGUCUGAUGUCUUUAAACCAGCCUUAUUAUAGAGGGGAUCGGCAGGUCCUGGAUCAGUCUGAUGUCUUUAAACCAGCCUUAUUAUAGAGGGGAUCGGCAGGUCCUGGAUCAGUCUGAUGUCUUUAAACCAGCCUUAUUAUAGAGGGGAUCGGCAGGUCCUGGAUCAGUCUGAUGUCUUUAAACCAGCCUUAUUAUAGAGGGGAUCGGCAGGUCCUGGAUCAGUCUGAUGUCUUUAAACCAGCCUUAUUAUAGAGGGGAUCGGCAGGUCCUGGAUCAGUCUGAAGUCUUUAAACCAGCCUUAUUAUAGAGGGGAUCAGCAGGUCCUGGAUCAGCCUGAUGUCUUUAAACCAGCCUUAUUAUAGAGGGGAUCAGCAGGUCCUGGAUCAGUCUGAUGUCUUUAAACCAGCCUUAUUAUAGAGGGGAUCAGCAGGUCCUGGAUCAGUCUGUCUUUAAACCAGCCUUAUUAUAGAGGGGAUCGGCAGGUCCUGGAUCAGUCUGAAUGGAAGUGGGGGGUUAAGAAGCUCCCCUGUUCCUCGAUGCGAGAGACCAGACAUCACCAACACCUACAGUAUCCAGCUGCUACUGAUGGGACCUCACACAGGGGUCAGGGAGGGAGAUGGUAUUGUCUUUGGUCCCUGUGUGUGUGUGUGUGUGUGUGUGUGUGUUUCCAUCACGUGCUGUAGGCCUGGUCUCCCAGUCCGAUGCCUGCAGCAGCAGUGUGUGAGGUCUCGGAAGGUGUGGUGUCGUAACCCAGUCUCUUCAUGUCUUUAGUCACAAUGUGGAAGGAGAGGGAGACGAAACCCUGAGAACGGACCCUGGUCACU